rnacentral:rRNA from 1 species
GUUCAAAAGUGAAAGACGGUCUUGCUGUCACUUAUAGAUGGAUCCGCGCUGCAUUAGCUAGUUGGUAAGGUAACGGCUUACCAAGGCAACGAUGCAUAGCCGACCUGAGAGGGUGAUCGGCCACACUGGAACUGAGACACGGUCCAGACUCCUACGGGAGGCAGCAGUAGGGAAUCUUCCGCAAUGGGCGAAAGCCUGACGGAGCAACGCCGCGUGAGUGAUGAAGGUCUUCGGAUCGUAAAACUCUGUUAUUAGGGAAGAACAUAUGUGUAAGUAACUGUGCACAUCUUGACGGUACCUAAUCAGAAAGCCACGGCUAACUACGUGCCAGCAGCCGCGGUAAUACGUAGGUGGCAAGCGUUAUCCGGAAUUAUUGGGCGUAAAGCGCGCGUAGGCGGUUUUUUAAGUCUGAUGUGAAAGCCCACGGCUCAACCGUGGAGGGUCAUUGGAAACUGGAAAACUUGAGUGCAGAAGAGGAAAGUGGAAUUCCAUGUGUAGCGGUGAAAUGCGCAGAGAUAUGGAGGAACACCAGUGGCGAAGGCGACUUUCUGGUCUGUAACUGACGCUGAUGUGCGAAAGCGUGGGGAUCAAACAGGAUUAGAUACCCUGGUAGUCCACGCCGUAAACGAUGAGUGCUAAGUGUUAGGGGGUUUCCGCCCCUUAGUGCUGCAGCUAACGCAUUAAGCACUCCGCCUGGGGAGUACGACCGCAAGGUUGAAACUCAAAGGAAUUGACGGGGACCCGCACAAGCGGUGGAGCAUGUGGUUUAAUUCGAAGCAACGCGAAGAACCUUACCAAAUCUUGACAUCCUUUGACAACUCUAGAGAUAGAGCCUUCCCCUUCGGGGGACAAAGUGACAGGUGGUGCAUGGUUGUCGUCAGCUCGUGUCGUGAGAUGUUGGGUUAAGUCCCGCAACGAGCGCAACCCUUAAGCUUAGUUGCCAUCAUUAAGUUGGGCACUCUAAGUUGACUGCCGGUGACAAACCGGAGGAAGGUGGGGAUGACGUCAAAUCAUCAUGCCCCUUAUGAUUUGGGCUACACACGUGCUACAAUGGACAAUACAAAGGGCAGCGAAACCGCGAGGUCAAGCAAAUCCCAUAAAGUUGUUCUCAGUUCGGAUUGUAGUCUGCAACUCGACUACAUGAAGCUGGAAUCGCUAGUAAUCGUAGAUCAGCAUGCUACGGUGAAUACGUUCCCGGGUCUUGUACACACCGCCCGUCACACCACGAGAGUUUGUAACACCCGAAGCCGGUGGAGUAACCUUUUAGGAGCUAGCCGUCGAAGGUGGGACAAAUGAUUGGGGUGAAGUCGUAACAAGGUAGCCGUAUCGGAAGGUGCGGCUGGAUCACCUCCUUU